UACAGAGGUCUCAAGCGUUGUUCGGAUUCAUUGGGCGUAAAGGGUGCGUAGGUGGCGCUGUAAGUCGGGUGUGAAAUUUCGGAGCUUAACUCCGAAACUGCAUUCGAUACUGCGGUGCUUGAGGACUGGAGAGGAGACUGGAAUUUACGGUGUAGCAGUGAAAUGCGUAGAUAUCGUAAGGAAGACCAGUGGCGAAGGCGGCGACCUGGACGCAAACUGACGCUGAGAUACGAAAGCCAAGGUAGCAAACAGG
rnacentral:rRNA from 1 species